UACGGAGGGUGCAAGCGUUAUCCGGAUUCACUGGGUUUAAAGGGUGCGUAGGUGGGCAGUUAAGUCAGUGGUGAAAUCUCCGGGCUUAACUCGGAAACUGCCGUUGAUACUAUCUGUCUUGAAUACUGUGGAGGUCAGCGGAAUAUGUCAUGUAGCGGUGAAAUGCUUAGAUAUGACAUAGAACACCAAUUGCGAAGGCAGCUGGCUACACAAAUAUUGACACUGAGGCACGAAAGCGUGGGGAUCAAACAGG
rnacentral:rRNA from 1 species